GAUGAACGCUAGCCACAGGCUUAACACAUGCAAGUCGAGGGGUAACAAGAGGAAAGCUUGCUUUCCUUGUUGACGACCGGCGCACGGGUGAGUAACGCGUAUCCAACCUGCCUAUAACUAGGGAAUAACCUUGCGAAAGUAAGACUAAUACCCUAUGAUUUCCUUUGAUGACAUCAGAUUAGGAAUAAAGAUUUAUCGGUUAUAGAUGGGGAUGCGUCUGAUUAGCUUGUUGGCGGGGUAACGGCCCACCAAGGCAACGAUCAGUAGGGGUUCUGAGAGGAAGGUCCCCCACAUUGGAACUGAGACAUGGUCCAAACUCCUACGGGAGGCAGCAGUGAGGAAUAUUGGUCAAUGGGCGGAAGCCUGAACCAGCCAAGUAGCGUGCAGGAUGACGGCCCUAUGGGUUGUAAACUGCUUUUAUACAGGAAUAAAGUUAGCCACGUGUGGUUAUUUGUAGGUACUGUAUGAAUAAGGACCGGCUAAUUCCGUGCCAGCCGCCGCAGUAA
rnacentral:rRNA from 1 species